GAAAAAGCCGUGCUUAGGGGCCAUGGACACUUUGCUGUUGCUUGUGCCGCCUGAACGACAUACGUGCUCAAUCUCACUACUGAGCUUUACAGGGUGUUAUGAGGGUCACUAUGAAAGGACGUUUGGAACUUUCGCACAUGCAACGAACAAUAUGCAAGGGUUCUAGGCAAUCCUUUAUGGUGCUGAUGUUUGCAUAGCCAGCUGCUAAGAUUUUAAGCUCCUAGGUAACCUGACUCGUGCAUGAUUGUGAGGUGUGGACCACUCGAUACAGUUCCAGAGGCGGGACUGACAAACAGCAGGGAACAAGUUUAAUUCUGCCUUCCCGGAGACUUUGAGACUUUUUUUUUUUUUGAGACAGGGUCUCUCCGUGUAGUUGAGCCUGGUCUUGAACUCACUACAUAGCCCAGGCUGGCCUUGAACACGAGGCGAUCCUCCUGCCUCAGCCUCCCAACUCCUGGGAUUACAGGCCUGCACCACCACACCCGGCUGAAACUUCUGAGUGGGAGCUCCUGAAGGAAGACUCAAGAUGUUUCCAGGCAGCAGAGAGGGCUGGAUGGAGUGGGCAGAGCAGGAGAGGAAUGAGCUGGAAGGUUCUGCAAGGCUACCAUUGAAUUCACUAUGUAGCCCAGGCUGGCCUCAAACUGGCAGUGAUCUUCCUUCCUCAGCCUCCUAAGUGCUGGGAUUACAGCAAUGUCUAAUAACCGUUGCUGUUGAAUUUUAUCUCAGAGAGGCUUGAAGUGGAACUUUGAACAUCUAGAGGGCA
ensembl:lncRNA